rnacentral:rRNA from 1 species
AACGAACGCUGGCGGCAGGCCUAACACAUGCAAGUCGAGCGGACCCUUCGGGGUUAGCGGCGGAGGGGUGAGUGACGCGUGGGAAUAUGCCCUUCUCUACGGAAUAGUCCUGGGAAACUGGGGGUAACACCGUAUACGCCCUUUGGGGGAAGGAUUUAUCGGGGAAGGAUUAGCCCGCGUUGGAUUAGGUUGUUGGUGGGGUAAUGGCCUACCAAGCCGACGAUCCAUAGCCGGUUUGAGAGGAUGAGCAGCCACACUGGGACUGAGACACGGCCCAGACUCCUACGGGAAGCAGCAGUGGGGAAUCUUAGACAAUGGGGGCAACCCUGAUCUAGCCAUGCCGCGUGAGUGAUGAAGGCCUUAGGGUUGUAAAGCUCUUUCAGCUGGGAAGAUAAUGACGGUACCAGCAGAAGAAGCCCCGGCUAACUCCGUG